UCACUUACCUGUGCCAGGAGAAGCCUC
rnacentral:piRNA from 1 species